GCGAGCGUGGUGGAAUUGGCAGACACGCUAGACUUAGGAUCUAGUACCGCAAGGUGUGGGGGUUCAAGUCCCUUCGCUCGCA
rnacentral:tRNA from 2 species